UACGGGGGGGGCAAGCGUUGUUCGGAAUUACUGGGCGUAAAGGGCUCGUAGGUGGCCAACUAAGUCAGACGUGAAAUCCCCGGGCUCAACCCGGGAACUGCGUCCGAUACUGGAAGGCUUGAAUCCGGGAGAGGGAUGCGGAAUUCCAGGUGUAGCGGUGAAAUGCGUAGAUAUCUGGAGGAACACCGGUGGCGAAGGCGGCAUCCUGGACCGGCAUUGACGCUGAGGCGCGAAAGCCAGGGGAGCAAACGGG
rnacentral:rRNA from 1 species